rnacentral:tRNA from 1 species
GCCACCUUAGCUCAGUUGGUAGAGCGACGCACUCGUAACGCGUAGGUCGCCGGUUCAAUCCCGGCAGGUGGCUCCA